GGCCACUUGGUCUAGUGGUACGAUUCCUGCUUUGGGCCAUCAAUGGCAACCUGCAGGAGGUCCCGAGUUCGAACCUCGGAGUGGCCC